AGUCCGAGCGGACAGAUGGGAGCUUGCUCCCUGAUGUUAGCGGCGGACGGGUGAGUAACACGUGGGUAACCUGCCUGUAAGACUGGGAUAACUCCGGGAAACCGGGGCUAAUACCGGAUGCUUGUUUGAACCGCAUGGUUCAAACAUAAAAGGUGGCUUCGGCUACCACUUACAGAUGGACCCGCGGCGCAUUAGCUAGUUGGUGAGGUAAUGGCUCACCAAGGCGACGAUGCGUAGCCGACCUGAGAGGGUGAUCGGCCACACUGGGACUGAGACACGGCCCAGACUCCUACGGGAGGCAGCAGUAGGGAAUCUUCCGCAAUGGACGAAAGUCUGACGGAGCAACGCCGCGUGAGUGAUGAAGGUUUUCGGAUCGUAAAGCUCUGUUGUUAGGGAAGAACAAGUACCGUUCGAAUAGGGCGGUACCUUGACGGUACCUAACCAGAAAGCCACGGCUAACUACGUGCCAGCAGCCGCGGUAAUACGUAGGUGGCAAGCGUUGUCCGGAAUUAUUGGGCGUAAAGGGCUCGCAGGCGGUUUCUUAAGUCUGAUGUGAAAGCCCCCGGCUCAACCGGGGAGGGUCAUUGGAAACUGGGGAACUUGAGUGCAGAAGAGGAGAGUGGAAUUCCACGUGUAGCGGUGAAAUGCGUAGAGAUGUGGAGGAACACCAGUGGCGAAGGCGACUCUCUGGUCUGUAACUGACGCUGAGGAGCGAAAGCGUGGGGAGCGAACAGGAUUAGAUACCCUGGUAGUCCACGCCGUAAACGAUGAGUGCUAAGUGUUAGGGGUUUCCGCCCCUUAGUGCUGCAGCUAACGCAUUAAGCACUCCGCCUGGGGGAGUA
rnacentral:rRNA from 1 species